rnacentral:rRNA from 1 species
CGACCGGCGCACGGGUGAGUAACGCGUAUCCAACCUUCCCAUUACUGUGGGAUAACCUGCCGAAAGGCAGACUAAUACCGCAUAGUCUUCGAUGACGGCAUCAGAUUUGAAGUAAAGAUUUAUCGGUAAUGGAUGGGGAUGCGUCUGAUUAGCUUGUUGGCGGGGUAACGGCCCACCAAGGCGACGAUCAGUAGGGGUUCUGAGAGGAAGGUCCCCCACAUUGGAACUGAGACACGGUCCAAACUCCUACGGGAGGCAGCAGCG